UUCCCAAGGCAGUAUUCAGUUGCUGCUGUCAGAAGAAGAAAUGAAUACCUGGCUGGAUCUGCCCAGUAGAAAGACUCUGCGAUGCUGAGGCGCACAUCUUGAAAGAGUUCAACCUUUCAUAAUAGUUGAGAUUAUGGUCUUUGAAAUCACUGAACUAAGUCUGAGUCCUGGUGCUACCAUUUUUGUUUGCAAGAUCCCAGUUGCUGUGGGCCAGGGAUUCGGGAACUGCUUUCCCUGCACUGUUCCUAGUCCUGAGCCUGAGCUGCCAUCAAAGAAGAAGUCUGACCCCUCUUCUGGACACACUUUGUGGGCAGGCUCUGCGUCUUACACAGAGAAGGGGAGAUGCCCAGCUGAGUCCAGCCUUCUAGUCCUCGCCGAUGUCCAGACCUGGGAGUGAUGCCAUCUUGGACCCUCCAGCCUAGCCCAGAUGGCUGAAUCCCACCAAGUGAGCACAGUCAGUGCCCACAUAGAGCAAAAAACGGUCCAGAUGAACCUUGCCACAAAAUCAUGGGACAGAAUAAAAUGGUUGUUGUUUUAA